AAUAAGUUAGAGGAUGAUGUCCUGGGUAUAUCUGAUGAGAUAUUUACUUCUUUUGAGUAGUGAAUUUUAGAUUUUGCAUACACCUAUCAUGUAUGUUGUAGAGAGGAGCAGUUUGAUUUUUUGAAAAGCAGUGAGGGUACUAUUUAUCUGUCAGAUAAAUCGAGUUGUGCAAUCAGAGGCCCCAAAAUAGUCAAUUGGAGGACACAUGAUGAUGUAGUGAGG
rnacentral:lncRNA from 1 species